rnacentral:rRNA from 1 species
UACGUAGGCAGCAAGCGUUGUUCGGAGUUACUGGGCGUAAAGAGUGUGUAGGCGGUGCUCUAAGUUCGGUGUGAAAUCUCCUGGCUCAACUGGGAGGGUGCGCCGGAAACUGGAGUGCUUGAGCGUGGGAGAGGAAAGCGGAAGUUCCUGGUGUAGCGGUGAAAUGCGUAGAUAUCAGGAGGAACACCGAUGGCGAAGGCAGCUCGCUGGGACGGUACUGACGCUGGAGGCGACGGAAAGCGUGGGGAGCAAACAGG